UGCGGUUGGGUAGGCUUGGGGCGUG
rnacentral:sRNA from 1 species